rnacentral:rRNA from 1 species
CCUACGGGAGGCAGCAGUGGGGAAUUUUGGACAAUGGGCGCAAGCCUGAUCCAGCAAUGCCGCGUGAGUGAAGAAGGCCUUCGGGUUGUAAAGCUCUUUUGUCAGGGAAGAAACGGUGGGGGGCUAAUAUCCUCCACUAAUGACGGUACCUGAAGAAUAAGCACCGGCUAACUACGUGCCAGCAGCCGCGGUAAUACGUAGGGUGCAAGCGUUAAUCGGAAUUACUGGGCGUAAAGCGUGCGCAGGCGGUUUUGUAAGUCUGUCGUGAAAGCCCCGGGCUCAACCUGGGAAUUGCGAUGGAGACUGCAAGGCUUGAAUCUGGCAGAGGGGGGUAGAAUUCCACGUGUAGCAGUGAAAUGCGUAGAGAUGUGGAGGAACACCGAUGGCGAAGGCAGCCCCCUGGGUCAAGAUUGACGCUCAUGCACGAAAGCGUGGGGAGCGAAACAGGAUUAGAUACCCUGGUAGUCCACGCCCUAAACGAUGUCUACUAGUUGUCGGGUUUUAAUUAACUUGGUAACGCAGCUAACGCGUGAGUAGACCGCCUGGGGAGUACGGUCGCAAGAUUAAAACUUAAAUGAAUUGACGG